AGCAGCCGCGGUAAUUCCAGCUCCAAUAGCGUAUAUUAAAGUUGUUGCAGUUAAAAAGCUCGUAGUUGAAUUUCGGGGUUUUACCGUUGGUCGGGCUAUCCAGUCUGUACUAGCGUGUAGAAUUCCUACCUUCUGGGGAACCAUCAUGUUAUUAAUUUAGCGUGGUGGGAAACCAGGACCUUUACCUUGAAAAAAUUAGAGUGUUCAAAGCAGGCUUACGUCUGAAUACAUUAGCAUGGAAUAAUAGAAUAGGACGGUGGUCCUGUUUUGUUGGUUUCUGAAUCACCGUAAUGAUUAAUAGGGAUAGUUGGGGGCAUUAGUAUUCAAUUGUCAGAGGUGAAAUUCUUGGAUUUAUUGAAGACUAACUUCUGCGAAAGCAUUUGCCAAGGAUGUUUUCAUUAAUCAAGAACGAAAGUUAGGGGAUCGAAGACGAUCAGAUACCGUCGUAGUCUUAACCAUAAACUAUGCCGACUAGGGAUCGGACGAUGUUAAAUAUUAUUGACUCG
rnacentral:rRNA from 1 species